rnacentral:pre_miRNA from 1 species
AGUCUUUUCUAUCCGUGCUGAGAUUUUGUCGCACACUAGACCACAAGGGCUGAUGGGACUCCCAAUAUAAGUGAAGCC